ensembl:rRNA 5S_rRNA 5S ribosomal RNA
CCUGGUCAGUACCUGCAUGGGAGACUACCUGGGAACACCAAGG